GAUGAACGCUAGCGGCAGGCUUAAUACAUGCAAGUCGAGGGGCAGCAGGUCUGUAGCAAUACAGAUGCUGGCGACCGGCAAACGGGUGCGGAACACGUACACAACCUUCCUUUAAGUGGGGGAUAGCCCAGGGAAACUUGGAUUAAUACCCCGUAAUAUAUUAAAGUGGCAUCACUUUGAUAUUAAAGCUCCGGCGCUUGAAGAUGGGUGUGCGGCUGAUUAGGUAGUUGGCAGGGUAACGGCCUACCAAGCCUACGAUCAGUAACUGGUGUGAGAGCACGACCAGUCACACGGGCACUGAGACACGGGCCCGACUCCUACGGGAGGCAGCAGUAAGGAAUAUUGGGCAAUGGACGCAAGUCUGACCCAGCCAUGCCGCGUGGAGGAUGAAGGUCCUCUGGAUUGUAAACUUCUUUUAUCUGGGAAGAAAUACCUGAAUUCUUUUAGGUUUGACGGUACCAGAUGAAUAAGCACCGGCUAACUCCGUGCCAGCAGCCGCCGUAAAAC
rnacentral:rRNA from 1 species